rnacentral:rRNA from 1 species
UACAGAGGGGGCAAGCGUUGUUCGGAAUUACUGGGCGUAAAGGGCGCGUAGGCGGCCUGUUAAGUCGAACGUGAAAUCCCCGGGCUCAACCCGGGAACUGCGUCCGAUACUGGCAGGCUUGAAUCCGGGAGAGGGAUGCGGAAUUCCAGGUGUAGCGGUGAAAUGCGUAGAUAUCUGGAGGAACACCGGUGGCGAAGGCGGCAUCCUGGACCGGAUACUGACGCUGAGGAGCGAAAGCCAGGGGAGCAAACGGG